CCUACGGGAGGCUGCAGUGAGGAAUAUUGGUCAAUGGGCGCGAGCCUGAACCAGCCAAGUAGCAUGAAGGAUGACUGCCCUACGGGUUGUAAACUUCUUUUAUAAAGGAAUAAAGUGAGGCACGUGUGCCUUUUUGUAUGUACUUUAUGAAUAAGGAUCGGCUAACUCCGUGCCAGCAGCCGCGGUACUACGGAGGAUCCGAGCGUUAUACGGAUUUAUUGGGUUUAAAGGGAGCGUAGAUGGGUUGUUAAGUCAGUUUGGAAAGUUUUGGGCGCAACCGUAAAAUUGCAAUUGGUACUGGCAGUCUUGAGUACGGUUGAGGUAGGCGGAAUUCGUGGUGUAGCGGUGAAAUGCUUAGAUAUCACGAAGAACUCCGAUUGCGAAGGCAGCUUACGAAACUGCCACUGACAUUGAUGCUCGAAAGUGUGGGUAUCAAACAGGAUUAGAUACCCUGGUAGUC
rnacentral:rRNA from 1 species